rnacentral:rRNA from 1 species
AUUGAACGCUGGCGGCAGGCCUAACACAUGCAAGUCGAACGGUAGCACAGAGAGCUUGCUCUCGGGUGACGAGUGGCGGACGGGUGAGUAACGUCUGGGAAACUGCCCGAUGGAGGGGGAUAACUACUGGAAACGGUAGCUAAUACCGCAUAACGUCGCAAGACCAAAGUGGGGGACCUUCGGGCCUCACACCAUCGGAUGUGCCCAGAUGGGAUUAGCUAGUAGGGGGGGUAAUGGCUCACCUAGGCGACGAUCCCUAGCUGGUCUGAGAGGAUGACAGCCAAACUGAAACGGAGACACGGUCAAGACUCUUACGGGAGGCAGCGGGGGGGAAUAUUGCACAAUGGGCGCGAGCCUGAUGCAGCCAUGCCGCGUGUAGGAAGAAGGCCUUGGGUUUGUAAAGUACUUUCAGCGGGGAGGAAGGCGGUGAAGUUAAUAACUUCACCGAUUGACGUUACCCGCAGAAGAAGCCCCGGCUAACUCCGUGCCAGCCGCCGCCGUAA